rnacentral:rRNA from 1 species
GAUGAACGCUAGCUACAGGCUUAACACAUGCAAGUCGAGGGGAAACGGCAUUUAGUGCUUGCACUGAAUGGACGUCGACCGGCGCACGGGUGAGUAACGCGUAUCCAACCUACCCAUUACUGUGGGAUAACCUGCCGAAAGGCAGACUAAUACCGCAUAGUCUUCGAUGACGGCAUCAGAUUUGAAGUAAAGAUUUAUCGGUAAUGGAUGGGGAUACGUCUGAUUAGCUUGUUGGCGGGGUAACGGCCCACCAAGGCGACGAUCAGUAGGGGUUCUGAGAGGAAGGUCCCCCACAUUGGAACUGAGACACGGUCCAAACUCCUACGGGAGGCAGCAGUGAGGAAUAUUGGUCAAUGGGCGCGAGCCUGAACCAGCCAAGUAGCGUGCAGGAUGACGGCCCUAUGGGUUGUAAACUGCUUUUGUAUGGGGAUAAAGUCAAUCACGUGUGAUUGUUUGCAGGUACCAUACGAAUAAGGACCGGCUAAUUCCGUGCCAGCAGCCGCGGUAAUACGGAAGGUCCGGGCGUUAUCCGGAUUUAUUGGGUUUAAAGGGAGCGUAGGCCGGAGAUUAAGUGUGUUGUGAAAUGUAGACGCUCAACGUCUGACUUGCAGCGCAUACUGGUUUCCUUGAGUACGCACAACGUUGGCGGAAUUCGUCGUGUAGCGGUGAAAUGCUUAGAUAUGACGAAGAACUCCGAUUGCGAAGGCAGCUGACGGGAGCGCAACUGACGCUUAAGCUCGAAGGUGCGGGUAUCGAACAGG